rnacentral:hammerhead_ribozyme from 1 species
GAGCUGCUGAGGAGUCCCACUAUAGAACGAAAUGGCCAUCCAGUGC